rnacentral:rRNA from 1 species
UACAGAGGUCCCAAGCGUUGUUCGGAUUCAUUGGGCGUAAAGGGUGCGUAGGCGGCGCCGUAAGUCGGAUGUGAAAUCUCGGGGCUCAACCCUGAAACUGCAUUCGAUACUGCGGUGCUAGAGACUCUAGAGGAAACUGGAAUUCACGGUGUAGCAGUGAAAUGCGUAGAUAUCGUGAGGAAGACCAGUGGCGAAGGCGGGUUUCUGGAGAGUUCCUGACGCUGAGGCACGAAGGCCAGGGGAGCAAACGGG